rnacentral:lncRNA from 1 species
CGCCUGUAGGUGAGUCUCUGUGAACCAGUUACUUUCCACUCUGUGGGGCUUCCCACCUGGGAGGGAUGGGGUUGCUUAUAUCACGUAAUCGCCCCUCCUACCUCUUGAUGUGGCCUCCUCUUUGUCUUCUGGAGUAGGGUAUCUUUUUGAAGGUUUCCGGUCCAUUUGGGUGAAGAGUGCUCAGCCUUUAGUUGUGACUUUUGUUGUUUUUAGGAGAGAAGUUGAGCUCCAGUCCUCCUGUUCUGCCCUCUUAAUCCCAUCUCUCCUGUCAACUUUUUCUAAUCAUCUUCUAAUUACACCAGUGAUUCUCCACAGGGGCCCAUUGUGUCUCUCGGGGGAACUUGACACUGUCUGGAGACCACUUGGCUUGCUGCUGAGGUCUGAAGGAGCCCAAACAGACGGAGACAGUUGGCCGGACUGGCAAGGAGUGCUGCUGUGGGUGGCGCCCAGGGGUGUCGCUACAUCCUGCUGUGUCCAGGACAGCCCCACAACGAGGAAUUGUCAGCCCCAAAGGUCAGUCGUGCUGAGAUGGAGGAACCCCGCCCCAAAGGCUUACCCCCAUGGACAAGCAUCACAGCAAAUCUGGGAAGCUCCUUAGACAUGUAGACUCCUGGGCCCCACCCCAGACCAUGUACAUCAGACUCUGCGUUUGAGCAGCGCCCCCCAGAGGAGUUCUGUGUUCGUUUGAGACCCAGACUGCACAGUGAGGUAGCCAGGGCUUGCGUGGAUUACACAUGUGGAUAACAGUUGCCAUGAAGGCAACAGCUCCAGGAGUUCCCACUGUGACGCAGUGGGUUCAUGAUCCAGCUUGUCUCUGUGGAGGUGCCGGUUCGAUCCCCCACCCGGAUCAGGGGGUGAAGGUUGCUGCAGCUGUGGUGUAAGUUGCAGCUCUGGCUUGGUUUGGACUGGAUCCCUGGCUCAGGAACUUCCACGUGUUGCACUGAGGGAAAGAGGGAAGGAAGAGGGAGGGAGAAGGAAGGAAGGAGGCAUGAAAGCAAGCGCUACAGAGAAAAGCAAUUGAAAAACUAAAGCUUUACAGAUCACAUGUAUUAAAUAAAGUCUGCUUUGCAAAGACUGUGUAAUCUCCCAAUGCCUGUUAAACUGCUCGUGCUUCCAGACUCUGCCAUGCUUGACUGAAAUAAACAUUAUUCAUAAUUUUUAAAAAGAGAAUGAAUG